UUGCAAAUAACCCAGUUAAGCCGACUGUGCUGUUUUCCCCACGGGGACCCGACGUCCAGUAGCUGCAAACAACAGCCUCCUCGGUAGUGUAUGCAGCCUGUCGCCUGUAUGGGUUGCCCUAAGGGACCUUGGAUUCAGCC
ensembl:snoRNA SNORA70 Small nucleolar RNA SNORA70